ACGGGUAGCCGGCCUGAGAGGGCGACCGGCCACAUUGGGACUGAGAUACGGCCCAGACUCCUACGGGAGGCAGCAGUGGGGAAUAUUGCACAAUGGGCGCAAGCCUGAUGCAGCGACGCCGCGUGAGGGAUGGAGGCCUUCGGGUUGUAAACCUCUUUUGUUAGGGAGCAAGGCACUUUGUGUUGAGUGUACCUUUCGAAUAAGCACCGGCUAACUACGUGCCAGCAGCCGCGGUAAUACGUAGGGUGCAAGCGUUAUCCGGAAUUAUUGGGCGUAAAGGGCUCGUAGGCGGUUCGUCGCGUCCGGUGUGAAAGUCCAUCGCUUAACGGUGGAUCCGCGCCGGGUACGGGCGGGCUUGAGUGCGGUAGGGGAGACUGGAAUUCCCGGUGUAACGGUGGAAUGUGUAGAUAUCGGGAAGAACACCAAUGGCGAAGGCAGGUCUCUGGGCCGUUACUGACGCUGAGGAGCGAAAGCGUGGGGAGCGAACAGGAUUAGAUACCCUGGUAGUCCACGCCGUAAACGGUGGAUGCUGGAUGUGGGGCCCGUUCCACGGGUUCCGUGUCGGAGCUAACGCGUUAAGCAUCCCGCCUGGGGAGUACGGCCGCAAGGCUAAAACUCAAAGAAAUUGACGGGGGCCCGCACAAGCGGCGGAGCAUGCGGAUUAAUUCGAUGCAACGCGAAGAACCUUACCUGGGCUUGACAUGUUCCCGACGAUCCCAGAGAUGGGGUUUCCCUUCGGGGCGGGUUCACAGGUGGUGCAUGGUCGUCGUCAGCUCGUGUCGUGAGAUGUUGGGUUAAGUCCCGCAACGAGCGCAACCCUCGCCCCGUGUUGCCAGCGGAUUGUGCCGGGAACUCACGGGGGACCGCCGGGGUUAACUCGGAGGAAGGUGGGGAUGACGUCAGAUCAUCAUGCCCCUUACGUCCAGGGCUUCACGCAUGCUACAAUGGCCGGUACAACGGGAUGCGACAGCGCGAGCUGGAGCGGAUCCCUGAAAACCGGUCUCAGUUCGGAUCGCAGUCUGCAACUCGACUGCGUGAAGGCGGAGUCGCUAGUAAUCGCGAAUCAGCAACGUCGCGGUGAAUGCGUUCCCGGGCCUUGUACACACCGCCCGUCAAGUCAUGAAAGUGGGCAGCACCCGAAGCCGGUGGCCUAACCCCUUGCGGGAGGGAGCCGUCUAAGGUGAGGCUCGUGAUUGGGACUAAGUCGUAACAAGGUAGCCGUACCGGAAGGUGCGGCUGGAUCACCUCCUUU
rnacentral:rRNA from 1 species